rnacentral:rRNA from 1 species
AACCUGCCUCAUACAGGGGGAUAACAGUUAGAAAUGACUGCUAAUACCGCAUAAGCGCACAGGACCGCAUGGUCAAGUGUGAAAAACUCCGGUGGUAUGAGAUGGACCCGCGUCUGAUUAGCUGGUUGGUGAGGUAAUGGCCCACCAAGGCGACGAUCAGUAGCCGACCUGAGAGGGUGGCCGGCCACAUUGGGACUGAGACACGGCCCAAACUCCUACGGGAGGCAGCAGUGGGGAAUAUUGCACAAUGGGGGAAACCCUGAUGCAGCAACGCCGCGUGAGUGAAGAAGUAUUUCGGUAUGUAAAGCUCUAUCAGCAGGGAAGAAGAAAGACGGUACCUGACUAAGAAGCCCCGGCUACCUACGUGCCAGCAGCCGCGGUAAUACGUAGGGGGCAAGCGUUAUCCGGAUUUACUGGGUGUAAAGGGAGCGUAGACGGCAUAGCAAGUCUGAAGUGAAAGCCCGUGGCUCAACCGCGGAACUGCUUUGGAAACUGUUAAGCUGGAGUACUGGAGAGGCAAGCGGAAUUCCUAGUGUAGCGGUGAAAUGCGU